rnacentral:lncRNA from 1 species
AGUUGCCUCCGGCUUCUUCUACCUUCAAGUCAGAGCCAACGGCACCUGGAGCAGGUAGAGCGAGCCAGCCAGUGAGCCUGGUGGUCAGAGCUACACUGACUUCUCCCGCAGUCUCCACAUGGCUGAGACCACAGCCCGGCUCCAGAGGUCGGCCACACAGGCCAGAUGCCUAGUAACCACGGCGUGGAAUGGAGGAGAGUAUCACAACCCAACCGCCUCUGAGCUGCCCGCUGCUUCUCGGGUACCCGGGAGGUCUUGGCAAAUCACCUCCCUCAGCUCCAGUGGUGAGCCCCUGACCAAGCCCUGCGCGAUCAGAGCAUCCAAAUGCCUGACCACAGUGACGGGUUCAGAGACAGGCACGUGACCUAAGUCAGACCAAUGAGAUCCAGUCCUGGGAUUUGUGUGCAAACAGCCAGAAGAGAGACAUUACCUUCCCACAGAGUGCUCUGAAGCUGACUGGGUGGAAGCCUGAUCCUCAGGUGGGAUCAAGUGGAGCAAGUGCCUGAGACGAAGGCAGCUCAGAGGACAGCAGUGCUAAGCGGUGAAGAGAAAGGCAGAGUCCUAAUGAUCUUGUUUGAAGCUCUGGAUCUGGCCAUAUCUGAGGCCAGUGGCACCCUUGAGCUUUCCAGUUUCAUCAGCCAACUAAUCCUCCUUUUGCCUGAGCCAGUCUGAGAUGGGUUUCUGUCACUCACAACCAAGAGUCCUGGAUAAGGACUCCCAGAUUCCUAAGUUACCUCUGGUUUACCAGAGUGUCUAGGAAGGUUACUUGCUGGGGCGCAAGGCAGUAGUGAGUGACUUGCUCAAGGUCGUGAAACUGCUUCGUGAGAGAGCGGAGACCAGAACUUGGCUUGCAGACAGUUCUCCAUAUGACAUCCUGCCUCUUCUCCUGUCUAGGGGUCUGGCAUUGGCCCAACCAAAGCUACCCUAAAGCCAACAUAUAGAGUGAGAUGCUCACUUAGCAACACCCCACCCCACUCUCAAGCCAUGGCAGGGUCCAAACCACAGACAAGCAGAGGUGAAAAGAGAGCUGCCCCAUAGCACUCAGAGCAGAGGCUGUCUCCAG